CUCUAGGUCAACACCAUUUUGGUUUUAACAACUUAAUAUAAUUCACACAAUUGCAACUUGAUAUUAUUUCCCCGUAUUCUGACAUCCCAACAUAAUAAGGUCAAGUUUCACAUCCGCAGUCAAGCUGAACGCUGUCGAACUAUGCUGAAUAACGCAACCCUAGAAUGGAACAAACUUCGCUAACCUGUUCUACACUGUUUCUUUCAGCUCUACAUGACGACAAACACAGCAGUUACUCAAGAAUACAAUCGAAAAGUGGAACAAAAUACCUGGUAAACUUCGCCAUGUCCACCCUGAGAUGCAGACUACAGCAGGAGUUCACUGGCUAGCAUGAAACCUUAGCACGAAACCUAGUCGUGGAAGGAUUGGGGUGUGCAUUCAUGUUUUGCAGCCAAGAAAAUUGAAAAACAAGCAUGGAAUGCAACAGCAUCAUGAAAGCGAAGAAAAUAAUAAAUAAAAAAGCAAGACUGACACAAACAUACAUGAUAGAAAACACACAAGUGAAUAAAAUUCCUUACACAAAACAUCA